rnacentral:rRNA from 1 species
AGAGUUUGAUCCUGGCUCAGAAUCAACGCUGGCGGCGUGCCUAACACAUGCAAGUCGAACGCGAAAGGGACUUCGGUCCUGAGUAGAGUGGCGAACGGGUGAGUAACGCGUGGGUGACCUACCCUCGAGUGGGGGAUAACGUUCCGAAAGGGACGCUAAUACCGCAUGACAUUCCUGGUUUGAAGACUGGGAAAUCAAAGCCGGGGACCGCAAGGCCUGGCGCUUGAGGAGGGGCCCGCGUCUGAUUAGCUAGUUGGCGGGGUAACGGCCCACCAAGGCGACGAUCAGUAGCCGGCCUGAGAGGGCGGACGGCCACACUGGGACUGAGACACGGCCCAGACUCCUACGGGAGGCAGCAGUGGGGAAUUGUUCGCAAUGGGCGCAAGCCUGACGACGCAACGCCGCGUGGAGGAUGAAGGUCUUCGGAUUGUAAACUCCUGUUGAUCGGGACGAAAAGCUCCAACCUAAUACGUUGGAGACUGACGGUACCGGUUGAGGAAGCCACGGCUAACUCUGUGCCAGCAGCCGCGGUAAUACAGAGGUGGCAAGCGCUGUUCGGAAUUACUGGGCGUAAAGGGCGCGUAGGCGGCCUUCUAAGUCGGACGUGAAAGCCCCAGGCUUAACCUGGGAACUGCGUCUGAUACUGGGAGGCUUGGAUUCGGGAGAGGGAUGUGGAAUUCCAGGUGUAGCGGUGAAAUGCGUAGAUAUCUGGAGGAACACCGGUGGCGAAGGCGGCAUCCUGGACCGAGAUCGACGCUGAGGCGCGAAAGCUAGGGGAGCAAACGGGAUUAGAUACCCUG